rnacentral:lncRNA from 1 species
GGGAAGAAAAAAAGGGGCAUAUUACAAUACUUGCAGAAGAGAACCAUACAGGACGGCUACGAGAAAUAUCAUAAUGCAAGAAAAGGUUUGGAUAAAAAUAAAGCAAUUUAUUUAAGCAACACUCUUCUGACAACCAUUUAGGAAGGAGCAAGAAAGGAAGAGGCAGAAAAGGGCUCUACUAGUGAUUUAAUGUUGUACAUUUACAAAAAGAUCUCUUUCAUCAUAAAGCAUUUCAUUUGUGAAUAAAUCACUAAACAGUGAGGAUGUGGAAAAUUUGAUUCGAUCUUACACAGCAACCGGAACAGCCUCAUCCAGGGCAAUCACACCUGGAAGCUCCUUCCCUUCCA